rnacentral:rRNA from 1 species
UUGAACGCUGGCGGCAUGCCUUACACAUGCAAGUCGAACGGUAACAGGUUAAGCUGACGAGUGGCGAACGGGUGAGUAAUGUAUCGGAACGUGCCCAGUCGUGGGGGAUAACUGCUCGAAAGAGCAGCUAAUACCGCAUACGACCUGAGGGUGAAAGCGGGGGAUCGCAAGACCCCGCGCGAUUGGAGCGGCCGAUAUCAGAUUAGGUAGUUGGUGAGGUAAAGGCUCACCAAGCCGACGAUCUGUAGCUGGUCUGAGAGGACGACCAGCCACACUGGGACUGAGACACGGCCCAGACUCCUACGGGAGGCAGCAGUGGGGAAUUUUGGACAAUGGGCGCAAGCCUGAUCCAGCCAUGCCGCGUGCGGGAAGAAGGCCUUCGGGUUGUAAACCGCUUUUGUCAGGGAAGAAAAGGUUCUGGCUAAUACCUGGGACUCAUGACGGUACCUGAAGAAUAAGCACCGGCUAACUACGUG